AUUGAACGCUGGCGGCAUGCCUUACACAUGCAAGUCGAACGGCAGCACGGGGGCAACCCUGGUGGCGAGUGGCGAACGGGUGAGUAAUGCAUCGGAACGUGCCCAGUAGUGGGGGAUAACCCGGCGAAAGCCGGGCUAAUACCGCAUACGACCUAAGGGUGAAAGCGGGGGACCGUAAGGCCUCGCGCUAUUGGAGCGGCCGAUGUCUGAUUAGCUAGUUGGCGGGGUAAAAGCCCACCAAGGCGACGAUCAGUAGCUGGUCUGAGAGGACGACCAGCCACACUGGGACAGAGACACGGCCCAGACUCCUACGGGAGGCAGCAGUGGGGAAUUUUGGACAAUGGGCGCAAGCCUGAUCCAGCCAUGCCGCGUGCGGGAAGAAGGCCUUCGGGUUGUAAACCGCUUUUGGCAGGAACGAAACGGCGCAAGCCAAUACCUUGCGCUAAUGACGGUACCUGCAGAAUAAGCACCGGCUAACUACGUGCCAGCAGCCGCAGUAAGAC
rnacentral:rRNA from 1 species